rnacentral:rRNA from 1 species
AUACGUAGGUGGCAAGCGUUAUCCGGAUUUACUGGGUGUAAAGGGAGCGUAGACGGCAUGGCAAGUCUGAUGUGAAAACCCGGGGCUCAACCCCGGGAUUGCAUUGGAAACUGUCAAGCUAGAGUGCAGGAGAGGUAAGUGGAAUUCCUAGUGUAGCGGUGAAAUGCGUAGAUAUUAGGAGGAACACCGGCGGCGAAGGCGGCUUACUGGACUGUAACUGACGUUGAGGCUCGAAAGCGUGGGGAGCAAACAGGAUUAGAUACCCUGGUAGUCCACGCGGUAAACGAUGAAUACUAGGUGUUGGGGGCCUAUAGACCCUCGGUGCCGCAGCAAACGCAAUAAGUAUUCCACCUGGGGAGUACGUUCGCAAGAAUGAAACUCAAAGGAAUUGACGGGG